rnacentral:lncRNA from 1 species
UGAAUAUUAACUCUCUAUAUAAUAUACAAUUUGCAAAUAUUUUCUCCCAUUCACUUGGUUACCUUUUCAUUUUGUUGAUGGUUUCCUUCACUGUGGAAGAGCUUUUUACUUUGGGAUAGUCCUACCUGUUUAUUUUUGUUUUUGUUGCCUUUGCUUUUUGUGUCAAAUCCAAAAAUCAUUGGUAAGAUCAAUGUUCAGGAGCUUAUCCACUUUUUUCCCCUGGGAAUUUUAUAGUUUCAGGUUUCAACUUUAGUCUUUAAUCCAUUUUGAGUUAACUUUGGUGUAUGGUAUAAGAGUCUAGUUUCCUUCUUUUGCUUGAGGCUGUCCAGUUUUACCAUUUACUGAAGAGACAAUCCUUCCCCCAUUUUUGGCUCCUUUGUCCUUACUCUGGCCAUUUUUUUUUUGUUUUCUGACUGUUUUAUAAUUCCUUUGUUCCUUCUUUUUAUCUCUGCCUUUAUGAUUUGAUGAUUUUCUAUAGUGCUAUGCCUAGAUUUUCUUUUCUUUGUCUUUUGUGUAUCUAUUAUAGGUUUUUGGUUUGUGGUUACCGUGAAGCUUAUAUAAAACGUAUUUAUAAUAAUCUAUUUUAAGAUGAUACAUACUAAAGCCCUAUUUUUACUCUAUCCCCCCAUUUAAUGUUAUUUAUGUCACAGUUUAUAUCUUUCACUUUGUGUAUCUAUUAACAGAUUAUUGUAGUUAUAGUUAUUUUUGUAGUCUAGUUAUUUUUACCACUUUUUUUUUUUUUGGAUACUAGAGUUAUAAGUGAUUUACCCACCAUCACUAGAGAGUAUUCUGAAUUUGACUAUAUAUUUACAUUUACCAGUGAGAUACAUACUUUCAUAUAUUUUUAUGUUACUAAUUAGCACCCUUUUAUUUCAGCUUGAAAAAAACCCCUUUAGCACUUUUUUUUGUAAGGCCUGUUUAGUGGUGAUAAACUCCCUUAGCUUUUGCUUGUCUGGAAAACUCUUUUUCCUUUAAUUCUGAAGGACACCUUUUCUGGGUAAAAUAUUCUUGGAUAGCAGUGUUUUUCUUUCAGAACUUUGAAUAGAUUAUUCCAAUCCCUUAUGACCUGCAAAGUUUGUGUUGAAUAUCUUCUGAUAGUUACAUGGAGGUUCUCUUGCAUAUAACAAGUUGUUUUCUCUUGUUGGUUUUAAGACUAUCUCCUUUUCUUUAACUUUUUACGAUUUAAUUAUAAUGUGUCUUGGUGUGGGCCUAUUUGAAUUCAUCUUAUUUGUAAUUAUCUCUGAACUUCUUGGAUCUGGAUUUCUUUCCCCAGUUAAGGAAAGUUUUCAGCUAUUAUUUCUUUGAAUAAGCUUUUUGCCUCUUUCACUCGUCUCCCUUCUGGGACCUCUAUAAUGCAUGUAUUUGUCUACUUAUUGGUGUCCCAUAAAUCUCUUAAACUAUAUUCAUGGGUUAAGGAUCUGGCGUUGCCAUAAGCUGUGGUGUAGGUCGCAGAUGCGGCUCAGAUCCUGCAUUGCUGUGGCUCUGGCAUAGGUUGGCGGCUACAGCUCCGAUUUGACCCCUAGCCUGGGAACCUCCAUAUGCUGUGGGAGAGGCCCUAGAAAAGGCAGAAAGACAGAAAAAAAAAAAAAAAAAAAAAAAAAAAAAAA